AUCUAGCUGAUGGGGCCCAAUAGGACGAAACACGCGUCCUGGAU
rnacentral:hammerhead_ribozyme from 1 species